rnacentral:rRNA from 1 species
AUUGAACGCUGGCGGCAGGCCUAACACAUGCAAGUCGAGCGAGCGGCGGACGGGUGAGUAAUGUAUGGGCCUCUGCCUGAUGGCGGGGGAUAACUACUGGAACCGGUAGCUAAUACCGCAUACCAUCAGAUGAACCCAUAUGGGAUUAGCUGGUAGGUGGGGUAACGGCUCACCUAGGCGACGAUCCCUAGCUGGUCUGAGAGGAUGAUCAGCCACAGUGGGACGGAGACACGGCCCAGGCUCCUGCGGGAGGGAGCAGUGGGGAAUAGUGCGCAAUGGGGGCAAGCAUGAUGCAGCCAUGCCGCGUGUAUGAAGAAGGCCCUCGGGUUGUAAAGUACUUUCAGUCGGGAGGCGUUACCGACAGAAGAAGCACCGGCUAACUCCGUGCCAGCAGCCGCGGUAAUAC